UGACGGGCGUUUUCUCAAAGCUGGUUAGGACGUGUCCAUCUGAGUUCUUCCCAGUCGGGUCCUUCAGAGGCUAGGCAAGACAACGUCCUAGCAUUCGGAGAUAAACAGCCAGCGUCUCUCGGAAGCGAACAGCGGCAUGGAUUGGGCAACUUUAUGAUAAUUCCCAACAUCUGGCAGCUGAGUUCCCACAGUUUCUCUGCCAUGUCAUCGUCUCUCGCUGCCCUGGAACAGCCUGCAGGGCCACAGUUGCUGUGGGAGUUGAAAGCUCUGGUUCCACAGCACAGUAGAUGGAUGUCUGAGCUCCCUGCACCUUGGUCUUGGUGAAAGGCCUGACAAUCUUCCACAUCACCAGCAGGGGGAUGUUCAUGUGUCUCUUCAGCUCUGUGCGCACCACUCCCGGGUGGAUGACAUACACAUUUACUCCUGUAUCUAAAAAGGGGUGGUCUCAGCUUUUGCAACAUCUCUACAUGCCAUGAUAAUCCUUGCACCUAUGGAGCCAGCGUCACAGGAAAGCAGACAGCCUAUAGUUAUUACAUUACAAAGGCCAGCAAACAAUUAAACAAAUCAAUGAUGAGCAUACAAAAAACUCUUUGAUUAUCUGUGGCCUUACUAUUAACAUGGGGAUAGACACCUUUCACUGAGAGUGUAUUUGUGUAUGAGUGAAAGUUCUAGAACAUUGGAAAAAUGUACCUCUUUUGGCGAGGUCCCUGGUUGUUUCUUUGCCAAUCCCUGUGUUGGCACCUGUGAUGAUCACUGUUUUGCCAUCAAGUCUUGCUGAGGAAGACCACUGACCACAAAAAAAUGCUCUGUGAUGGGAAGUUUGAGAGAAAUUUAACCAUUUUAGGGCUGUGCAAUUAAUCUAAUUUCGAUUAUGAUCAUGGCUUACAACGAUUUUAAAACCAACAUAUUUGAAAUAGAACGAUUAAAGUGCUGUAUUCCUUUUCUCAGCGAUGUUCUCCUUUUGUCUUGUGUUCAGCGUACUCAUUUCCUUUACAGCGGUGUGCUUUCACCCCUCCCUAAAAGGCCAAACUCAACCGAGUAAGUAGUGCCACUGCUGAAAUUUCACAGUUUAAUAUUCAUGAUGAACCAUAAUGUUACAUUUGUUAGCAAGCAAAAUAUAUAUUACUUGGAUGCUACAGGCCUAAUCUACACGGCAAAUUACUAAAGUCAGCCAGAAGUUAAGUAGCCUAAGGGUGUACCUUAUUGUAAAAGACUAGUGGUGGAGGUGGAAUAAUUUUUUUUUUGCACCAAUUCAUUAUUUUUGCAGCUAUUCUGUUUUUCAUUCAUUUAUUUUUGCACCUAUUUCUGUCAGAAAUGUUAGUACUUCCAGAUAUUUUAUCAUCUUCCUUUAUGUGUGAGAAGCAUUGUUUCAUGUACAUUACACAUACCAAACCCUGUUACUAUGUGGCACUAAUAAACAGGCUUAAGCAUUAA